rnacentral:rRNA from 1 species
GCGUCAAAAAUGUAACAUCGUCCGAUCCCUAGUCGGCAUAGUUUAUGGUUAAGACUACGACGGUAUCUGAUCGUCUUCGAUCCCCUAACUUUCGUUCCUGAUUAAUGAAAACAUCCUUGGCAAAUGCUUUCGCAGUAGUUAGUCUUCAAUAAAUCCAAGAAUUUCACCUCUGACAAUUGAAUACUGAUGCCCCCGACUGUCCCUAUUAAUCAUUACGGCGGUCCUAGAAACCAACAAAAUAGAACCACACGUCCUAUUCUAUUAUUCCAUGCUAAUGUAUUCGAGCAUAGGCCUGCCUUGAGCACUCUAAUUUUUUCAAAGUAAAAGUCCUGUUUCCCCGCCACACCCAGUGAAGGGCAUGGGGUUCCGCAGAGGGAAAGGCCCGGCCGGACCAGUGCACGCGGUGAGGCGGACCGGCCAGCCAGGCCCAAGGUUCAACUACGAGCUUUUUAACCACAACAACUUUAAUAUACGCUAUUGGAGCUGGAAUUACCGCGGCUGCUGGCACCAGACUUGCCCUCCAAUUGUUCCUCGUUAAGGGAUUUAAAUUGUACUCAUUCCGAUUACAAGACCCAAAAGAGCCCUGUAUCAGUAUUUAUUGUCACUACCUCCCCGUGUCGGGAUUGGGUAAUUUGCGCGCCUGCUGCCUUCCUUGGAUGUAGUAGCCGUUUCUCAGGCUCCUUC